rnacentral:rRNA from 1 species
AGCGCACGCUGGCGGCAGGCCUAACACAUGCAAGUCGAACGGAUCCUUCGGGAUUAGUGGCGGACGGGUGAGUAACACGUGGGAACGUGCCCUUUGGUUCGGAACAACUCAGGGAAACUUGAUCUAAUACCGGAUGUGCCCUUCGGGGGAUAGAUUUAUCGCCGUUGGAGCGGCCCGCGUAUGAUUAGCUAGUUGGUGAGGUAAAGGCUCACCAAGGCGACGAUCAGUAGCUGGUCUGAGAGGAUAAUCAGCCACAUUGGGACUGAGACACGGACACAACUCCUACGGGAGGCAGCAGUGGGGAAUCUUGCGCAAUGGGCGAAAGCCUGACGCAGCCAUGCCGAGUGAAUGAUGAAGGUCUUAGGAUUGUAAAAUUCUUUCACAGGGGACGAUAAUGACGGUACCCGGAGAAGAAGCCCCGGCUAACUUCGUGCCAGCCGCCGCCGUAAAAC